UAAAGAGAGGCCCUCGGUCUCUUUAAAGCAAGACGAAUUAACGACUUGUACAAAUAAUUGGCCCCAUUGCUUCAUUUUUGACAUCACUAAAACAUUGAUGGUGUCCACUGACGCGCUCCAUGCUUGAGACGAGGCCAGAGGAGCAUGAUGGAGUACAUGAGCGACAAGUUCUCCUUGAAAAGUCAAGCGAUUAAAGGCAGCGAUUACUACAUGGACCAAGUCAUGGAGACUUUAGACAAUGUGCACUACUACAACAAGACAUCACCUAAAUGCGUUCAGGCCUUCUCGAUGCAGAGCAAUGAUCAACACACCACCAUGGACAGAUCGUCUCCGUGUGACAACCAAAACAGCGUGAUUUACUGCGCUCCUAAAACGGAGGACAGCAGCCUGCACGCGAUGGAGAACUGCUGCAGUAUCAGAGUCUCGCCGGCCUCAGCCUCAGCCGCAGCCGCAGCCGGACCAGACAAAACAGACCUGGACGACAUCGGCGAAAAAUGCGACAGCAACGUGUCGAGCAGCAAGAAGAGACGCCAUCGCACGACCUUCACGAGCGCUCAACUAGAGGAACUGGAGAAAGUCUUCCAGAAAACCCAUUACCCAGAUGUGUAUGUGAGAGAACAGCUGGCCAUGAGAACAGAGCUCACGGAGGCCAGAGUUCAGGUGUGGUUCCAGAACAGAAGAGCCAAGUGGAGGAAGCGAGAAAGAUACGGACAGAUCCAGCAGGCCAAAAGCCACUUUGCAGCGACCUAUGACAUAUCAAUGCUGCCCCGGACAGACAGCUAUUCACAGAUUUCCAACAACUUAUGGACAGGUCCCACUGCAGGCAGCUCUGUAGUCUCGUCCUGCAUGAUCCCGCGUGGUUCCCCUCCCUGCGUGACGUCUCCCUACCCCCACUCGCCAAGAUCCAGUGAGCACAGUUAUGUGGGAUUCCCCAGUCACCAGCAAAAUCAGUUUGGAGUGUCUCUCAACAACUUCUUCUCAGAUUCACUUCUGGCUCCUUCACCGAACAGUCACACCACGUUUGAGACCAAACCUGAGUUUGAACGGCGGUCCUCCAGCAUUGCUGUGCUGCGGAUGAAGGCAAAGGAACAUGCAGCCAACAUAUCUUGGACCAUGUGAACUCCGAACUUAUUCUAAUAGUGCUGAUCUGAGCAGUUUUUUGCCAAAUAACAAUACAGCCAGUUACUUUCAUGAAUUGUUUAUUGUUUACAUUUUGUUUGGAACAAAAAAGAUAUCAGCCAUGAUUAUAACCUGUUCAAAAAUUCUGGAAAAGUUUCCCAUCCUUUCAAAAAUAAUUUAAUUAAGAAACCUCUGAAUUAAACAAUGAUUGUUCUCAUUUUGUUUAAGCAUCUCUUGUUGUUGUGAAUGUGAAGGGCACAGAACUCGACAGUGUUAUACUCUCAUGAGAUUCACAGAGAUGUUAUGGGCGACAUACUAACACUAUGUUUGUGUGCUUUGCAGCAAAGCUGUUUAACGCUCUCUAGCUGUGUGCCACAUGCAAAGGAGCACUUUUUUAUUUUAUGUGUAAUCUCUGUAUCCAUCUCUUGGUCACUGGUCCAUCAUUUUUCUGGAUCCACAGCUUCACGGUAAGACUGAUGGUGCAGAAGAUCCCACCACACUCUGGUGCAGAUGAGAUCCAUCAGCAGACCGAAUGGGUUUGACCCUCUGGGGUGAGCCACGCUCAUUAAUAAAGACCCUCACACGCUUGGGGGAGUGAGACAUGUGAAAGAGACGGAUAUCUCUGGUGCCCAAUACUUCAGACCUGCAAUUGAGGGAAAAAAAAUAAAAUUAAACAUUAAGGACAUUGAUAACA